rnacentral:tRNA from 1 species
CCUUCUCGACGCCCCUGAGAUGUGAGCGCCGGACUGCUAAUCCGUAGGUCCCUGGUUCGAGCCCAGGUUGAAGGGCCA